UGUACACACCGCCCGUCACACCAUGGAAGUUGGUCACGCCCGAAGUCGUUACCCCAACCGCAAGGGGGGGGAUGCCUAAGGUAGGACUGAUGACUGGGGUGAAGUCGUAACAAGGUAGCCGUACCGGAAGGUGUGGCUGGAUCACCUCCUUUUAGGGAGACCUAAUCCAUUUAGAAAUCGAAAGCAGUGAAAAUUGUGGGUAGAAACUAAAUUGGUCUAACCUAGGUCGGUCGCAGACUUGAAGUAAAGCUUUCAAACUAUGAUUUGGUUCGAUAAGGGCUAUUAGCUCAGGUGGUUAGAGCGCACCCCUGAUAAGGGUGAGGUCCCUGGUUCGAGUCCAGGAUGGCCCACCUGAAGCAAGUCAAAAGUAAAAAGUCAAAGGUCAAAGGUAUAUUCCUUUUGAAUUUUGCCUUUUGAAUUUUGAAUUGUUUUUGGGGGUUUAGCUCAGUUGGUAGAGCGCCUGCUUUGCAAGCAGGAUGUCAGCGGUUCGAGUCCGCUAACCUCCACACUGGAAAAAAGACAGCACCUAACAAUAAAAGUUAGACUGCUGGGUGAAAUUCCAGCCAGAACCUUGAAAACUGCAUAAGAGAACGAGAAAAAGCAGGCAGACACAGACAUUUAAAUGGAUGUGAAAGCAAAGAAAAAUUGUGGUCAAGCUAAUAAGGGCUAAUGGUGGAUACCUAGGCACACAGAGA
rnacentral:misc_RNA from 1 species